rnacentral:rRNA from 1 species
AUUGAACGCUGGCGGCAUGCUUUACACAUGCAAGUCGAACGGCAGCGGGGGCUUCGGCCUGCCGGCGAGUGGCGAACGGGUGAGUAAUGCAUCGGAACGUGCCCAUGUCGUGGGGGAUAACGUAUCGAAAGGUACGCUAAUACCGCAUACGUCCUGAGGGAGAAAGCGGGGGAUCUUCGGACCUCGCGCGAUUGGAGCGGCCGAUGUCGGAUUAGCUAGUAGGUGAGGUAAAGGCUCACCUAGGCGACGAUCCGUAGCGGGUCUGAGAGGAUGAUCCGCCACACUGGGACUGAGACACGGCCCAGACUCCUACGGGAGGCAGCAGUGGGGAAUUUUGGACAAUGGGCGCAAGCCUGAUCCAGCCAUGCCGCGUGAGUGAAGAAGGGCCUUCGGUUGUAAGACUCUUUCGGCCGGGAGGAAAUACGUGUUCUCUAACAUAGGUACAUGGAUGACGGUACCGGGACUAAGAAGANACCCGGACUAACUAACGUG